GUUUUGUCUCUCAUGUCAUUUUGGUACGUCGGGAAAGGACCUGUUCCUCCAUAAGCAUAAAUAAGAGACCCAAAAGCAAGUGAAACCGUUGACAAGGAAACUGGUGAAGCCUCUGGUAGCCGAUCAGCUGUUGCUAUAAAAUCCCUUGUUACAUCAACCAUUAAGAGGAUGACUGCCGCUGCUGAAGUACCCAACGCUAAUGCUGCUGCUGGCCAAAAUUCAACUGGAGUACCAAACCACAUGAAUGGACAGAUGACGGCUGCAAUUAUUACCAUCCAUACACCAUAGGAAAGACUUUGAUGACGAUCAAUCAGAUCGGAUGUUAAUUGGACGCAAACCAAAAGGAGAACUGCUGAGGUACCAAUUAAUGAGAUUUGAAGCAUUAAGGUAACCAUUGACCUACAAAAUGUAUCUUUUGCUCGUUGCAGUUGAUCGAUGGAUUUUAUUUCUUACUUCAUCCGAGGCCCAUAAGCCAUUUUACCUAUCUCGGGAUAAGGAUUUCGACAACGAACCCUGUAUUCAGGCCAACGUUCUUCCAGUAUUAUCCAACAUUUACCAAGCAGACAAGCAGCUACAGCCGCAUCAAAACAGAUCAUUAUCAUCAAAGGCACUCCAAACCAGCCUGCAUUGUUUAUCGUGUGUGGUAUAGCCAAUAUUCCUGCUCCAGCAUUUUCACCAGCCACAAACAGGACAGUUGUUAUCAUUGACAUUCCACCUUUAAUUUUAACAUCGACCCCAUGAUUGUCAUUUGAUUUGUUUUUGGAGUUAUCCUGUUACAAUAGCGUUCUCGACAAUAUAAUAAAUUUCAAGAGAGUUCAUAUUCAUCACACCAGCAGCCUGAUUAUCAAGCAACAUCAUAAACACAGGAAUGAAAACUAUCGUUGGAUUCAACUAUCAGUAAUGGCUAAAAUUAUUUGAUUGCUAUUUCAAUGCUAAACAGCUUAAAAACACUAAAAUGCUAAAUCAAUAUCUAAUGAAACAGCAUAUUCAAAAAGUUGAAUAGACUCAACAAUUAUCUCACAUUUUUUCAAGAUUGAUCUUGUUGUCCACUUUACCAUUGAUUGACAAUUUGCUUCAUUAGUCACAUCAUAAACACCUGGAAGUUAUAAUCAAUUAAUUUUCAAUUGAUAUUUGACAAAAUCAAUUGAUCAUUUUUCUUAUCAAUCAAUGCUUCAAACAAACACUCUUCAAAAGCUUCAAUGCAUGUGUUCACGUCAAGGCAAAAUAAUCAUUAAAACUGAAAAUUACUCACA